UACAGAGGGGGCAAGCGUUAUUCGGAAUUAUUGGGCGUAAAGGGCGCGUAGGCGGCUUGGCAAGUGGAUGGUGAAAUCCCUCGGCUUAACCGAGGAGCUGCCGUCCAAACUGCUUUGCUUGAGGCCGGGAGAGGCGAGUGGAAUUCCCAGUGUAGCGGUGAAAUGCGUUGAUAUCAUCAGGAACACCGGUGGCGAAAGCGGCUUACUGGGUCUCUUCUGACGCUGAGGAACGAAAGCUAGGGUAGCGAACGGG
rnacentral:rRNA from 1 species